rnacentral:rRNA from 1 species
GACGAACCGUGCGAACGUUGUUCGGAUUCACUGGGCUUAAAGGGCGCGUAGGCGGCUUGGCAAGUCCGGGGUGAAAGCCCCCAGCCCAACUGGGGAAGUGCCUCGGAGACUGCCAAGCCCGAGCGGGAUAGGGGCAGCUGGAACUUUCGGUGGAGCGGUGAAAUGCGUAGAUAUCGGAAGGAACGCCGGUGGCGAAAGCGGGCUGCUGGAUCCCCCCUGACGCUGAGGCGCGAAAGCCAGGGGAGCGAACGGG